CCUACGGGGGGCUGCAGUGGGGAAUAUUGGACAAUGGGGGGAACCCUGAUCCAGCCAUGCCGCGUGUGUGAAGAAGGCCCUCGGGUUGUAAAGCACUUUUAGUGAGGAAGAACGCCUGGUGGUUAAUACCCAUCAGGAAAGACAUCACUCACAGAAGAAGCACCGGCUAACUCCGUGCCAGCAGCCGCGGUAAUACGGAGGGUGCGAGCGUUAAUCGGAAUUACUGGGCGUAAAGCGCGCGUAGGUGGCUUGAUAAGCCGGUUGUGAAAGCCCCGGGCUCAACCUGGGAACGGCAUCCGGAACUGUCAAGCUAGAGUGCAGGAGAGGAAGGUAGAAUUCCCGGUGUAGCGGUGAAAUGCGUAGAGAUCGGGAGGAAUACCAGUGGCGAAGGCGGCCUUCUGGACUGACACUGACACUGAGGUGCGAAAGCGUGGGUAGCAAACAGGAUUAGAUACCCGAGUAGUC
rnacentral:rRNA from 1 species